rnacentral:rRNA from 1 species
UACGUAGGGUGCAAGCGUUAAUCGGAAUUACUGGGCGUAAAGCGUGCGCAGGCGGUUUUGUAAGUUUGUCGUGAAAGCCCCGGGCUCAACCUGGGAAUUGCGAUGAAGACUGCAAGGCUUGAAUCUGGCAGAGGGGGGUAGAAUUCCACGUGUAGCAGUGAAAUGCGUAGAGAUGUGGAGGAAUACCGAUGGCGAAGGCAGCCCCCUGGGAUAACACUGACGCUCAUGCACGAAAGCGUGGGGAGCAAACAGG